CAACUUUUCAUCGACAAACUUCCUGGAUGUUUAAAUUCCUGAAGUGAUUGAAAAUGAAAAAGGCAACAGCUUUUUUUGUUUUGGCAAUUCUGACAACGCUCUAUUGUAGUCUUGUUGAUGGAGGGUGGUGUUCUAGAACAGUUACUCGUUACGAACAGAGGCAUGUUUGUUGUAGAUGGGACUGGCAUCACUGUAAUUGGUGGGAAUGGAGAACUGUUACAACAUAUGCUACCGAAAGGUACUGUUGUAUUGGAUGGACAGGGAAUAAUUGUAACACAC